ensembl:lincRNA Gm33370 predicted gene, 33370
AAAUGCCUCAACCUAGGAGAGGAAGUGUGCUGCUCAGGAACUACCCGGGGCUGCAGAUUCCCAUCGUCUGGAGGCAGGAAAAGCUGCCUGCAAUGUGUUCGUGUGCCUGUACAGAAUUCUCUUGCCAACCUUUGCAGCGAGAGAUAGUAGCUAAAUGCUCAGAAUUAAAGAGCAACCCCCAAAACCUGGAAAAGAGUCUAAGUGAACAAAGCCUGCCUGGAAUGGAAGAGCUCUGAGUGAAGAGAGUCAGCACAGAGAAGCAAACAGAGGACCCUGUAAGGACUACUUAUCAAACUGUAAUCAACAACAACCAUUAACAACCAACAACCAACCAACCAACCAACCAACCAACAAUCAACAACUCCACCUCUCAGGGCCCUUUUUUAUAUAUUCCCUGAAAACUUUCCAGAAUUCCAAACACCACACAAUCGCAUAAAACUGUCUUCAAGUGUCAGAAUCAUGCCCCCACCAGAGCUCAAGGAAAA